AAAGUUGCAAAGUACUUUGAAGAGAGAGUUCAAGAGGACGUGAAACCGAUAGGAUGGAAGCAGAUGAAGUUGACGAACGAGUGUCGUAUUCAGGGCCGCAUCUUGUGUGCGGUCUGUUCUUGCGACCGAUGUGGGCUGGCGGCCUUGGUCAAUGCACGGUGUCAAGCGUCGAUGGUGACCCUGCGGAGGGAUAUUCGUUCGGCGUACGAUGCGUGGUAUGGCUAAGGUUUUUCGCGCCGGUCUUGAAGUCAGCGCCUCAUCUGACCCGUCUUGAAACACGGACCAAGGAGUGUAGCGUUUACGCAAGUCUUAGAGUGUAUGAAAACUUUGAGGCGCAACGAAAGUAAAGGUGGCUUCAAGCUGCUGACUUGGGAUGCGCUGUCUCCUGUGGACGGCGCUGGACCAUGGUUAUAUCGCGAUCGCUUGCGAUGCGGUGUAAAUAGAGCGUAAACGGUGCGACCCGAAAGAUGGUGAACUAUGCCUGAGCAGGAUGAAGCCGGAGGAAACUCUGGUGGAAGUCCGAAGCGGUUCUGACGUGCAAAUCGAUCGUCUGACUUGGGUAUAGGGGCGAAAGACUAAUCGAACCAUCUAGUAGCUGG
rnacentral:rRNA from 1 species